AGCAGCCCAGGGGCAAGGGGAACAGUCAGUCUUGGGCAUGCUCAGUAGUGCUCAUGGCUGGAAAGGCCCCUGACCCUUGACCCCAGCUUCUCCCAGGUUAGGCGGGAAAACAGGUUUCUUUGUUCUCCCCUGGUUAAGAGAAACCACACCUAUGCCUUGUCAUUGACCAAUGAGGGUCAUCCCUAUGUACUGUGUAUAUUUGCAUAUCAAAAACUAUAUCUAGCCCAGCAGGCUCCGCCUUCUCUCUCUCUGCUCUCUCUCCCCCUCUCUCCUCUUUCAGGCUAGGCGAUGGCUGUCCUUGCAGGAGCUUGGCCUCUGGCCAAGCUCCAUCUUUAAUCUUUCUCCUCAAUAAACGACUCCUCUUUGCAUACCAUGUGAGAGCUGUCGGUACCUUCUUUGUCGCUUCCCCUUUCCUUCUCUCUCUCCCCCUCCCCUCUCAGGGGUCGUAAGGGGCUGGUCCCCGACAUAUCUGGCGCCCAACGUGGGGCCCGAGCGACCACCGGACAACUGAGGAAAAGUUCGGCGCCGAAACCGAGGCUACAGUAACGGGUAAGGAUCGGACGAUCCCGAGGAAUGGUAAGUUGUCCCAUUCAUAUCUCCCUCUCAAACCCCAUUGUGUGAAUGGUUGAAUGUAUGUGUGUUUUGAUGGCAACGGAAUAACAGUCCCCUUAUAUACACGAAGUGCAGUUUCCCUCCCCCACCUGGGUCUGCUAGUCGGAGGCCUCCUCUCUCGGACCUGGAUCUCCGGAGGUUAAGAAACACCUGAGGAGCGGUCUGAGGGGGAGGGGAAGGAAAAAGAAAAUUUGACCCAGGGAAACCCUCACUAGGGGCGAUUGAGAACUCGAAAAAUCUCACUCUGAAACAAACAGUUGCUAGAGCAUAGUGAAUUUCAAAAGGAGCAACUGGGAAAAGAAAAAGCAGGAGUUAAAAUUUCAUCCGGAAAGCAAAGUCAAAUUUACCUGCUAUUUAUAGGCAAAACAGUCAGUUUAGCAAAAGCGGGAAAGGCUAGCGAAGACGCAAGGCAGAAACUGCUGCAGAAUGCUAAGGAGUUCUUUCUUAAGCACUUCUUAUUUCAAAGGUUCUGCAAGUUAAUCUUUACAAGAAACUCCCUGUGCCUUUUCAGGAGAGGUCAGACUCAGAUGCAUUUGAAAGGCUUAUCAGGAAGUGGUUGCCUUCAGGGCAUUUAAAAGAUCAGAAUUACUUGGAAAAAACGGAUAAAAAACAAAAAAUUUUUUCUAAUAAAAUCGUAGGUCUCAGCACAAUUAAGGAAUCAAGGUAAUAAUCCUGAAUUAGGUUAAAUUCGGAACAGCCUAAGUUGUAAAAAGAUAUUGCCAUUCUGUAACCAAAGGCAGAAGAUUUUUUUUUAAACAAGCAAGCCUCCAAACUCAUUUAGCAUUUGAAAAAAGGUCCUAGGAAUUCUUUUGUUUGAGGUCCAGCCAGGUAAAGGCAGGCUUUACCUGGGGGAUUGCAAAUACAGUAAAGUAAGAUUUGGGAAUUUGAAUUUUAAUUUAGGUUGGCUGUAGGCAACAUUAUAAAGGAAUGUCUGCUUAUAUUUUUUGAUAAAGGAAGUUAAAAAAGGAGAAUUAAAUAUCUUUCUCUGACUUUUGUUAUAUGCCACAGAAUAUCAGGACUAGAAAUGUUUUAUCUGUAGAGACAUUUUGGUAUAUAUCUCAAGGUAAUUAAAGUGCAAACAGAAAACUUUUAAGGUUUGGGCUUAAAUCUGAAGCAGCUUGAAAUUUUUCUCUACUGGCCACAUGGCUUGAGCCACGUGGAAGAUAGCAUCAGAGCAACUGAGGUUGCAAGUUUUAUCACUAAGGCUGUAAUUGGCUAGAAGAAGAAAUUUAAUACUAAGAUAUAAUAAGCAUGAAUUGGAAUAUGAUUUAAAGGAAUUUCUAAAGCUUUCUAAUUUUAACUAUGGAGGAAUUAUUAACACUUUUCUAAGCAGCACAUAAAGCAACAGGAUGAAUCUUGAGCAGAGCUUACUCAAACAACCUGUAUGCAGUUCAGAAACUUUUUUACUGGGCAUAUUACUAUACCUGUAUCCAGAAAGCAAAUGAUUUAUAACUAGAAUAGCUUUUACUAUGGAAAAUUAAGACACAUGCUCAGCAGAGUAAAAGCAUGGUUAGAAGGAUUCAAUCUGUUUACCAGUGGUUAAUUAUUAAAGUUAUCAAGGAAUUGGUUACUCAGUACAGUGAUUUAUUAAGGAUUUGAAAGAGGCAAUACUAUCAUGUAUUGAAAUUGCAGAUAUUGAGGCUGAUCAUGAUAUUGAAAAGAGACCUAUGAUAAUAAGGCAAAUUCAAAGGUUACUGGCAUAAUUUGAUUUAUUUUUGCAGGGAAGAUUUGCAGAUUUAGCAGAUGAAAGUAAUGAUUUUAUUCAUAGUAUUAAGAUCUUUUCAGUUAUGAAGCUAAGGGCAGUAGUUCAGAAAUAACAACUUCUAUGCAAUUGUUUGAUAAUUCUGUGCACAUUUUUCUAGCAUAGGACAAUGCUAUAAUUUUAAUAACUGCACAAGGUGGAAAUUUUUUCAAAAAGCAAAAAUUGUGUGCAGGCAGACAAAGGCUUAAGAUCCCAGCACACAUGGGUCAAUUCACAAGUGAUUUAUAGAAUGAUAUUUUUCUGAUUAUGGAUUUGAAAAAGCAAAUAUUUAAGCAUCUAUACAUGCUGCUUUGCAAGAUCUAUUGUACAUCUAUAUCCUGAACAAGCAGGUGAUAUCGCUUAUCAAUGCAAACUGCUGUGGAUUAAUUUCACCCCUGAUAAAUAUCCACUGUAUAUUUUGGAGCAAAAGGUGCAUUUCAGUUUGCUCCUGGCACAAAGGUUGAACUGUGAAAAAUGAUGGGAGAUACUUACUCUCCUGGUUUAUGGGUUCAAGCUCAAAUGAAGAAGUGAGCAAAGUGAUUGCAGAUUUUAUAAAUAACUGUGCACAACUGUCUAUUCCAAACAGCUUGGAAUAGCAGGGCUUUUAACAGCAAUGCAAAGGCUAAAUUGCAUAGCUCAUGGCUCACAUGCAAGCUAUGGUAAAUAGAGCUCAAAGGAAUUCAUGAGCCCCAAGGUUCAAAAACUGAAGGUAUAUAUGUUCUGUCACUUUCUAACUUUCUAAGACCCAAUGAGGCUUUCAUUUGGGGUCGAGGUCUUGUUUAUAUGUUCACAGAUAAUGAAAACAUCUGGUCACCCACGUCAUGCUUCAUGCCAGCUGAUACAGACCAGGAAGAGAAGCAGACGGAAGGUGAUGGCAUCAGCUAUCUACAUGCCAGCCACAAUCCAGGCACGCUGGAGGGACACUUCUUUGGUGACUAAUAUCACUCCAGAACAAUGACAUUACACUAUUAGAGACAUUGGCUAUUAGGCCACUGACAGACACUUGUCAUGCUGACAUCCAUUGAGAUGGGGUACCCAGAGCAACAUCAAGUAUGCUAACUCAGAAGGACAAAAUCACACUUGUGUCUGUACAAGACACCAGAUACAUCCCACAUUCCAAAGACUUUGCUAUGGGAUUGAGAUGAAUUAGCUACAAAUUGUCUAGCUGCUAAUGUAUACCCUGUAUUUUGUAUAUGAUACUGUCAAAAGAAAUGAAUUGUAUGCAUUGUAAAGCUGCCUCUUGUAUUGUAAGAAAUGCGGUUAUCAACAAGGGUAUAGACCUUGGUAGGACUCUCCAAAGAGUAGGAGAUAGAAAACUCUCAUCCAUAGGAUAGAUCUGAUAUUUCUGACAUCAAAAAUGAGGUGCUAAGCAGAAAAUGAUGCACAGACAGGUUUAAUGGACAGAUGACACUGAUGUUAUUCUCGAGAAAGGAUGAGAGAUCAGGGAAAAGACACUAGGAAAUCUUUAAUCAGGAACCUGAGUUAUUGUAAGAGAUCAUUGACAUCCAGGCAAAGAUUAUGUUCCUGACAUUACAUUAAGGGCUGACUACCAUAGCAGUAGUUGAGUGUUAAUACCAUUGUUAACCAUUACUCCUGAUACCCUGUUUUUGUGGGUAAUAUUUUGAUAGGAAAAAUGUCUUGCUCUCCUCCAACAGUCCCAGAAUUCAGACGGCCGCUGGAUUCGGGAUCUAUUGGCUUCCCUUUCAUAUACUGGAAGACGUUCUGGUAUAUGGAAGUAAGACCUCAUGAAAAACUGAGGGCUCUAGGUUUGACAAUUUCUGUGGACGCGCAGUCAUUGUCUCUCCUAGGUGGAAAAAAUUAUUAUUGCACAAAAACAUGGAGCAAGGGCAAAGUAUAAUCUAAGUUUUACUGUUUUGGAGUAUGGAUUAAAAACAUGACACAAUAGGCACAGAUAAGCUUGCAGAAAAAGCACAUUGAAUAUUAUUCACUGACGAUUAGGAAUGAAAAAGCUAUGUCGAAUGCUGUAGGUACAAGAAACUGUAGAAAUUGUUUCUACAUGGGAAACAACUUAAGCUUCUAUUUACCCAAACAUUGGUUUGGUGGAAGGAAUUUUGCAAAUAUUGGUAAUGGUAUAGGCUUGGUUACCAUAUUGAUGGGUUUAUUUAUACAAGCAGAGAUUUAAAAUAAGGAAGACAUUAGGAAUAUGCAGUCAGAACUUGAAAUAUUACUUCAUUAUCACCAUCAUGGUUAUUUAAGCUACAAUUGAGAAUGUAAAAUGGAUGGGAAUAUUGGUAUUUGUUAAAAAUUUGCACUGUGAUUGAUGUAUUGAUGUUUUUGCAAAGCCUGUAAUGGUGCAAAAUUAUGUUCAUAUACAAGGCGAAUUUUGAUCUAUUUAGAUCAGGAAUUGGAAAUCAUUGGGAAUAUAAGUUCUGAUAUUUCACAUUGGCUCAGUUUCAAAGAUACCACAUAGACAGUGAGCCAAGAGAAUCUUGUAUUAAUUUUGGGAUCAGGUUCCCAGGAUCGAUUUUCUAAGAUCAUUUGACAUGUGAUAACAUGAUCCUCCAGAAUUGUUAAGAGAGGAUGUUUUUCUUUGAAGGGAUCUCUCCCAACACACAAACAAAAAGAAAAGGGAGAGGAAUCUUAUAGAGAUCAGUAUUUAUAUUUUUAGAGGAAAUUUUUAAAGUCACUCUUGAUUGAUCAACCUUGAUUUUUUCUUUUACACUAUUAAGGCCAGAAUUUUUAAGUACAAGGAAAGUACUGUUAAUGCUCUGAUCCAGAAUUAUGAAGGUGCAAAGAUUUCUAGAAUUACAGUCACCUAACAGUGGGUGAACAUGAGAACAUGACAGCAAUUGUUAAUUUUCAGAUGACCAUACUGGAGAGUGAUGUCUGAUUGCAUGUAAGGGGAAUCAUAAUGAAUCUUUCAUUAUGGACCAGACAGCCUCAGCCACGGUUACAUUUUCCAUGUGAAAUGGAUGUUUGAGGUUGGGAAAUGCAGAGACAUGGCGUACUGACACCCUCAGUCGCUGGAUGUCCUGGCAUCGAGCCACCAACCAGUUUUCUAUGUGGCAGGCAUCUGGCAGUGAGCACGGAAAGAUCCCCAAGAUGCAGUAUCAGGACAAGAGAAAGGAAGGACUUAUCCUUCAUCUCCAGGGAUAGUAUUUUGCUAACUGUUGAAAAGGCUGACAACUUCUGAUAGUCCAGACUGUGAAAGGUGGCAUGUUUGGUUAUUGCACCUGUCAUGUGAAUCAUAGAGUUCUACCUCAUUAGACCAGGAUCAGUAGCGUGGAAAUUAUUUUCUUAACAUUUUUAUAUCUACUAAGACUGUUGCAUAGAUCCUGAAAUGCAGACAGGCAGAUAGAAAGAUCAGUUUGGGAAUUUUUAAGAUUGAUCACUGAAUCAGUUUAUGCUGAUGUUCAUUCUUGAUUGGGAUAUCUAAGUUAUACAAUCAGGAUAGGUUUUUCAUCUCUGUAUCAGAAUAUGAUUAUGCACCAGAGUGUUUGUAUUUGUUGCUACAUUUUGAUAUUACACUAUUCAUUUGUGUGUAAAACAAAAAGGGGGAGAUGUAGCAGCCCAGGGGCAAGGGGAACAGUCAGUCUUGGGCAUGCUCAGUAGUGCUCAUGGCUGGAAAGGCCCCUGACCCUUGACCCCAGCUUCUCCCAGGUUAGGCGGGAAAACAGGUUUCUUUGUUCUCCCCUGGUUAAGAGAAACCACACCUAUGCCUUGUCAUUGACCAAUGAGGGUCAUCCCUAUGUACUGUGUAUAUUUGCAUAUCAAAAACUAUAUCUAGCCCAGCAGGCUCCGCCUUCUCUCUCUCUGCUCUCUCUCCCCCUCUCUCCUCUUUCAGGCUAGGCGAUGGCUGUCCUUGCAGGAGCUUGGCCUCUGGCCAAGCUCCAUCUUUAAUCUUUCUCCUCAAUAAACGACUCCUCUUUGCAUACCA